CCCUCUCUCUUAUUCAACACCAAUCUCCACUUAUUUUGUGUGAAAAAAGCCCUCUCCCAGGUCUCUCCCACGUUCACAAAAGGUUUCCUCUCUUCUUUCUUACAUGGAAGGUGGUUUGGAUCAAAUCAAAAGGAAUAAGUUUGGAUUUCGAAUUCUAUGAGAUAGAGUUUUAGAAAUCCAAAACUCUUUCAAUUUUGCACCGAAUUUAUUCAAUU
rnacentral:lncRNA from 1 species